UCUAACAACAUCCCCAUGUUAUUUGAAUAUAACAAAUCGGGAGCCUCAUUGGAAUCCAUUACAAUCCAAGAACAACUUUAUAUAACGAAUUGAUCAAGAGACUAGUAGAAUACAAGAUUUUGAUUGGAGAAAAAUUGAUUUGGUCUUCUUCCCAGUUUUUACAAGUGGCUAUUACUACCUUGUUGUAUUUUGGAUGAAGAUCAACAAAAUUGAGAUAAUAGAUAGUGUCAAACCACCAAAAGGCAAGGAUCCAUUGGAAAACUAUAGCAUUGAAGUUGGAAUACUGAAAGAUAUGUUUGAGGCAUACUUCAAAGAGAAGAACAUAUCAGGGCUAUCAGAAAAUAUAAAGAAGUCUCCAUACAAAGUUGUUCCUUUAGAUUGGGCCACAAGCACCAAUAAAGAAGACAAUGGUAUAUAUUUGAUGAGACACAUGGAAACUUACUUUG